rnacentral:misc_RNA from 1 species
GAACGGCGAUACGUAAUGCGAAUCGCAGGCUUCCAGUGAAUCAUCGAGUCUUUGAACGCACAUUGCACCCGCCGGCCAAUCCGGCGGGUCUGCCCGUCCGAGCGUCAUUACACCACUCGGCCCCAGCGCCGGCGUUGGGGGCCGCGACAGGCGUCGCACCCCCCAAAUGCAGCGGCGGCACCGCCCGCGACCCCGGCGCGCAGUAGGCUUCGGCACUCGCCAGGGGGAGCGGGCGGCGCCCGCCACUCGAAAGAUUCCAGCACGUGUGACCUCGGAUCGGGUAGGGAUACCCGCCGAACUUAA